AAAGAGGCCAGGUGGCAGACAUAAAGGUGCCUGUUUUCCUGGUUAGGGUUUUGCAGGAACUCCAAGGGUGUGAUGGAAGCAGCUGUACUGAAGACAACAAGCGAGCAUGUGCUGCCCAGAUUACUCACGACCAGUAAAGGAUCCAAAGAUGCCAAGUCAGGCACAGAAAAGUUGGGAAGUGACAGAAAUAGGUCAGAUGCCUGGUAUUUCUGAAAUACACAGCAAGGAGGUUACAGAGCAAUGCAAGCACAAAACCAUCCCCUGACCACAGCGUGGUGGGGCCAGGAUGAAGCUCAGCCCCUUGGGAGCCCUCAGGAGCUGGAAUGCAGCACCACAUCUCGCCUGGCUUCGGUGAAGGGUGGCCAAGCUUUCCCCUUUGAGCUUUGCUCACAGGAAAGAGUGAUUUAAAUAUUUAUUCACGGGAUGUAAACUGUGGAACAGAAGCAGCUCUUCAAGGCAGAACGUAUUA